CAAUAGCGUAUAUUAAAGUUGUUGCGGUUAAAAAGCUCGUAGUUGGAUUUCUGCUGAGAACGACCGGUCCGCCCUUUGGGUGUGUAUCUGGCUCUUUCUUGGCAUCUUCUUGGUGAACGUUGCUGCACUUGACUGUGUGGAGCGCUACCCAGGACUUUUACUUUGAGGAAAUUAGAGUGUUUCAAGCAGGCAUACGCCUUGAAUACAUUAGCAUGGAAUAAUAAGAUAGGACCUCGGUUCUAUUUUGUUGGUUUCUAGAGCUGAGGUAAUGAUUAAUAGGGAUAGUUGGGGGCAUUCGUAUCAUCAAGUCAGAGGUGGGAUUCUUGGAUUUUGAUGCGACGAACUACUGCGAAAGCAUUUGCCAAGGAUGUUUUCAUUGA
rnacentral:rRNA from 1 species